rnacentral:rRNA from 1 species
CCUACGGGAGGCAGCAGUGAGGAAUAUUGCACAAUGGGUGAAACCCUGAUGCAGCGACGCCGCGUGAACGAUGAAGUAUUUCUGUAUUUAAAACUCUAUCAACAGGGGAGAAAAUGACGGUACGUGCCUAAAAAUCCACGUCUACCUACGUGCAGGCAGCCGCGGUACUGCGUAGGGGGCAGGCGUUAUCCGGAUUUACUGGGGGUAAAGGGGGCGUAGACGGCGUUGUAAGACAGAUGUGAAAGCCAGGGGCUCAACCAUAGGACUGCAGUUGGAACUGGAUAGCUGGAGUGUGGGAGAGGUAGGCGGAAUGCCUAGUGUAGCGGUGAAAUGCGUAGAUAUUACGAGGAACACCAGUGGCGAAGGCGGCCUGCUGGACGAUGACUGACGUUGAGGCUCGAAAGCGUGGGGAGCAAACAGGAUUAGAUACCCGGGUAGUC